CAAUAGCGUAUAUUUAAGUUGUUGCAGUUAAAAAGCUCGUAGUUGGAUUUCGGGUGGGACGCAGCGGUCUCGCAUUGCGUUUGUACUGCUGCAGCCCUCCUUCUUGCCGGGGGCGGCCUCUCGGACUUCACUGUCUGGGGGUCAGAAUCGGCGAUGUUACUUUGAGUAAAUUAGAGUGUUCAAAGCAAGCUUACGCUCUGAAUAUAAUAGCAUGGGAUAACACGACAGGACUCUGGCCUAUCGUGUUGGUCUAUAGGACCAGAGUAAUGAUUAAGAGGGACAGUCGGGGGCAUUCGUAUUCCGUUGUCAGAGGUGAAAUUCUUGGAUUUACGGAAGACGAACAUCUGCGAAAGCACUUGCCAAGGAUGUUUUCAUUGA
rnacentral:rRNA from 1 species